AGAUUGAACGCUAGCGGCAUGCCUAACACAUGCAAGUCGAACGGUACAGGCCCUCGGGGUGGCUCGACGAGUGGCGGACGGGUGAGGUAAUGCGUAGGAAUCUACCCACGACGUGGGGGGAUAGGCCCCGGAGAAAACGUCCGGAUUUAACACCGUUAAUACUGCCCUACGGGGUAAAGCCGGGGGAGUACGUAAGGACCUCGCGCUGGUGGAUGAGCCU
rnacentral:rRNA from 1 species